rnacentral:rRNA from 1 species
GAUGAACGCUGGCGGCGUGCCUAAUACAUGCAAGUCGAGCGAACGGACGAGAGGCUUGCUUCUCUGAUGUUAGCGGCGGACGGGUGAGUAACACGUGGAUAACCUACCUAUAAGACUGGGAUAACUUCGGGAAACCGUAGCUAAUACCGGAUAAUAUUUUGAACCGCAUGGUUCAAAAGUGAAAGACGGUCUUGCUGUCACUUAUAGAUGGAUCCGCGCUGCAUUAGCUAGUUGGUAAGGUAACGGCUUACCAAGGCAACGAUGCAUAGCCGACCUGAGAGGGUGAUCGGCCAAACUGGAACUGAGACACGGUCCAGACUCCUACGGGAGGCAGCAGUAGGGAAUCUUCCGCAAUGGGCGAAAGCCUGACGGAGCAACGCCGCGUGAGUGAUGAAGGUCUUCGGAUCGUAAAACUCUGUUAUUAGGGAAGAACAUAUGUGUAAGUAACUGCGCACAUCUUGACGGUACCUAAUCAGAAAGCCACGGCUAACCACGUG